rnacentral:rRNA from 1 species
UACGGAAGGGGCUAGCGUUGUUCGGAAUUACUGGGCGUAAAGGGCGUGUAGGCGGCCUGCCAAGUCAGAUGUGAAAGCCCCGGGCUUAACCUGGGAACUGCAUUUGAGACUGGCCGGCUCGAGGUUGGAAGAGGAGAGUGGAAUUCCCAGUGUAGAGGUGAAAUUCGUAGAUAUUGGGAAGAACACCGGUGGCGAAGGCGGCUCUCUGGUCCACACCUGACGCUGAGGCGCGAAAGCGUGGGGAGCAAACAGG